GCUGGUGUGGCUCAGUGGGUAGAGCAUUGGCCUGUGGACUGAAGGGUCUUGGGUUCGAUUCCCAUCAGGGGCA
rnacentral:tRNA from 1 species